UUGUUUGCUAUUGCAACAUCUUCAAGAUUCAGAAAUCAGAUUCUCUUAUGGGUUUUCUUUUGAGCCUUUAUUUUUUGGUUUGAGAAUCUUGAUGAUGCUGCAGCGGCAAUUAA
rnacentral:pre_miRNA from 14 species